CAACCACCCCUCCCUCUAUAUCAUUCACUCCAAGUCAGUUUCUUUUUCCUAUUCGUUCUCUACAUCAGGAAAACAAGCUUCAAUCUUUCAAGAAAUCGAGAACCAAAUUCGAGAGAGGGAGAUACCUGUUGUUCGAAAUCUGUUCAAGGUUGAGCGGCGACGAGAGUACGGUGGUGUUGAGCAAGUCAAUUGGUAAAUGAACUGUUUUUUUUGAAUUAUGGGUGUCGUUGUGUCUUCACACAUGACGUCACUCUUACUCUUGGUCGUUUCCGCUGUGACAUUUCUUUCACUUAUCGUUUAUUGGGCUUGCAACGUAAAUUAUUUGGAUAUUGAAUAUUUGGGAUUUUACUAA